GACGAACGCUGGCGGCGUGCUUAACACAUGCGAGUCGAACGGAAAGGCCCUGCUUUUGUGGGGUGCUCGAGUGGCGAACGGGUGAGUAACACGUGAGUAACCUGCCCUUGACUUUGGGAUAACUUCAGGAAACUGGGGCUAAUACCGGAUAGGAGCUCCUGCUGCAUGGUGGGGGUUGGAAAGUUUCGGCGGUUGGGGAUGGGCUCGCGGCUUAUCAGCUUGUUGGUGGGGUAGUGGCUUACCAAGGCUUUGACGGGUAGCCGGCCUGAGAGGGUGACCGGCCACAUUGGGACUGAGAUAAGGCCCAGACUCCUACGGGCGGCAGCAGUGAGGAAUAUUGCACAAUGGGCGGAAGCCUGCUGCAGCAACGCCGCGUGCGGGAUGACGGCCUUCGGGUUGUAAACCGCUUUCGCAUGUGACGAAGCGUGAGUGACGGUAAUGGGUAAAGAAGCACCGGCUAACUACGUG
rnacentral:rRNA from 1 species